AAUCCAGUUCCACACUGUGAGGAGGAGUCAAUGCAAAACUCAGAUGUCUUCCACCUCUACUUAUCUGACUGCAGAGAGGAUGACAGAGAACAGUGGACACACAGUUUAACAUGAUGGACUAUAGGACAGGACUGCUGCUGUUAACUAUCUGCUGGGCAGGUGUUGAUGGUCAGACUCUGACAGAAUCUGAACCAGUGGUUAAAAGGCCUGGAGAAUCUCACAGAUUGACCUGUACAGCCUCUGGAUUCACAUUUAGUGACUACGAGAUGGCCUGGGUCAGACAGGCUCCUGGAAAAGGACUGGAGUGGGUUUCUCUUCUCAGCAAACCUAGUGGUAGCACCAAACACUACUCUCAGUCAGUUCAAGGCCGGUUUACCAUCUCCAGAGACAACAGCAGACAGCAGGUGUAUCUGCAGAUGAACAGUCUGAAGACUGAAGAUUCUGCUGUUUAUUAUUGUGCUCGACACCCACAGUGACUGGAGUUGGUUGAGCAGCUGU